rnacentral:rRNA from 1 species
CCAGAGAACUUUCCAGAGAUGGAUUGGUGCCUUCGGGAACUCUGAGACAGGUGCUGCAUGGCUGUCGUCAGCUCGUGUUGUGAAAUGUUGGGUUAAGUCCCGCAACGAGCGCAACCCUUUAUCCUUUGUUGCCAGCGGUCCGGCCGGGAACUCAAAGGAGACUGCCAGUGAUAAACUGGAGGAAGGUGGGGAUGACGUCAAGUCAUCAUGGCCCUUACGAGUAGGGCUACACACGUGCUACAAUGGCGCAUACAAAGAGAAGCGACCUCGCGAGAGCAAGCGGACCUCAUAAAGUGCGUCGUAGUCCGGAUUGGAGUCUGCAACUCGACUCCAUGAAGUCGGAAUCGCUAGUAAUCGUGGAUCAGAAUGCCACGGUGAAUACGUUCCCGGGCCUUGUACACACCGCCCGUCACACCAUGGGAGUGGGUUGCAAAAGAAGUAGGUAGCUUAACCUUCGGGAGGGCGCUUACCACUUUGUGAUUCAUGACUGGGGUGAAGUCGUAACAAGGUAAGCGUAGUGCU